rnacentral:rRNA from 1 species
AUUGAACGCUGGCGGCAUGCCUUACACAUGCAAGUCGAACGGCAGCAUGGAGAGCUUGCUCUCUGAUGGCGAGUGGCGAACGGGUGAGUAAUGCAUCGGAACGUACCGUGUAAUGGGGGAUAACGUAGCGAAAGUUACGCUAAUACUGCAUACGACCUGAGGGUGAAAGCAGGGGAUCGCAAGACCUUGCGUUAUACGAGCGGCCGAUGUCAGAUUAGCUAGUUGGUGAGGUAAAGGCUCACCAAGGCGACGAUCUGUAGCGGGUCUGAGAGGAUGAUCCGCCACACUGGGACUGAGACACGGCCCAGACUCCUACGGGAGGCAGCAGUGUGGAAUUUUGGACAAUGGGGGCAACCCUGAUCCAGCCAUGCCGCGUGAGUGAAGAAGGCCUUCGGGUUGUAAAGCUCUUUCGGCCGGGAAGAAAUCGCACAGGCUAAUACUCUGUGUGGAUGACGGUACCGGCAUAAGAAGCACCGGCUAACUACGUGCCAGCAGCCGCCGUAA